rnacentral:rRNA from 1 species
CCUACGGGGUGCAGCAGUGAGGAAUAUUGGUCAAUGGACGAGAGUCUGAACCAGCCAAGUAGCGUGAAGGAUGACUGCCCUAUGGGUUGUAAACUUCUUUUAUAUGGGAAUAAAAUGUUCCACGUGUGGGAUUUUGUAUGUACCAUAUGAAUAAGGAUCGGCUAACUCCGUGCCAGCAGCCGCGGUAAUACGGAGGAUCCGAGCGUUAUCCGGAUUUAUUGGGUUUAAAGGGAGCGUAGGUGGAUUGUUAAGUCAGUUGUGAAAGUUUGCGGCUCAACCGUAAAAUUGCAGUUGAAACUGGCAGUCUUGAGUGCAGUAGAGGUGGGCGGAAUUCGUGGUGUAGCGGUGAAAUGCUUAGAUAUCACGAAGAACUCCGAUUGCGAAGGCAGUUCACUGGACUGCAACUGACACUGAGGCUCGAAAGUGUGGGUAUCAAACAGGAUUAGAUACCCUAGUAGUC